ACCCUAUGAUUUUGAGAUAGGUUUAUAUAAAAACUUUGGAAAGCGGUGCAAUGCCAAAUUCAAAGCCAAACAGCCUAAUUUAUUAAAAUAGAUUUCAUUCCAUCCAAAUUAAAUGAAAGGAUCCAUACGGUCUAUUAUAUUUUUUCUAAAAGCAUCUGUAAGAUUUUCCAAUAAAACCUCCUAAUUUAGAAUUUUUGACUUAAGAGUUCUCAAUCCCACCUUCCAAUCUUUUGACAUUUGGGAAAAACAUCAAAAGAGCACAUAUAUCCAAGCGUCUUUAACGCGUGUAUUAGUGUGCCAAUUUAAGGUGGAAGAGUGUGAAAAAGAAAAAAGAGUAGAAAAAAGUUCCUGAUGCAAAU
rnacentral:lncRNA from 1 species